rnacentral:rRNA from 1 species
UGGCGGCACGCCUAAACAUGCAAGUCGAACGAAGUAGCAAUACUUAGUGGCAGACGGGUGAGUAACAUGUGGGUAUCUACCCUUUGGCCUGGAAUAACACGAGGAAACUUGUGCUAAUACCGGAUAAGUCUUUACGGAGAAAGCUUUAUGCACCAUUGGAUGAGCCUGCACUUGAUUAGUUUGUUGGUGGGGUAAUGGCCUACCAAGACUGUGAUCAAUAGCUGAUUUGAGAGGAUGAUCAGCCACAUUGGGACUGAGACACGGCCCAAACUCCUACGGGAGGCAGCAGUGGGGAAUCUUGCACAAUGGAGGAAACUCUGAUGCAGCGAUGCCGCGUGAGUGAAGAAGGCCUUUGGGUUGUAAAGCUCUUUCGUCGGGGAAGAAAAUGACUGUACCCGAAUAAGAAGGUCCGGCUAACUUCGUGCCAGCAGCCGCGGUAAUACGAAGGGACCUAGCGUAG